rnacentral:rRNA from 1 species
GAUGAACGCUAGCUACAGGCUUAACACAUGCAAGUCGAGGGGCAGCAUAAUCGAAGCUUGCUUUGAUUGAUGGCGACCGGCGCACGGGUGAGUAACGCGUAUCCAACCUUCCCCAUAGUAGGGCAUAGCCCGUAGAAAUGCGGAUUAAUACCCUAUGUUUUCCUUUGCAGGCAUCUAACGAGGAAUAAAGGUUCACCGCUAUGGGAUGGGGAUGCGUCUGAUUAGGUUGCAGGCGGGGUAACGGCCCACCUGGCCGACGAUCAGUAGGGGUUCUGAGAGGAAGGUCCCCCACACUGGUACUGAGACACGGACCAGACUCCUACGGGAGGCAGCAGUGAGGAAUAUUGGUCAAUGGGCGAGAGCCUGAACCGGCCAAGUAGCGUGCAGGACGACUGCCCUAUGGGUUGUAAACUGCUUUUAUGCGGGAAUAAAGUGAGGCACGUGUGCCUUUUUGUAUGUACCGCAUGAAUAAGGACCGGCUAAUUCCGUGCCAGCAGCAGCCGCAGUAAAAC